rnacentral:rRNA from 1 species
UACGUAGGGUGCGAGCGUUGUCCGGAAUUAUUGGGCGUAAAGAGCUCGUAGGCGGUCUGUCGCGUCGAAUGUGAAAACCCGGGGCUCAACUCCGGGCUUGCAUUCGAUACGGGCAGGCUAGAGUUCGGUAGGGGAGUCUGGAAUUCCUGGUGUAGCGGUGAAAUGCGCAGAUAUCAGGAGGAACACCGGUGGCGAAGGCGGUUCUCUGGGCCUUACCUGACGCUGAGGAGCGAAAGCGUGGGGAGCAAACAGG